UACGAGGGGGGCGAGCGUUGUUCGGAAUUAUUGGGCGUAAAGGGUGCGUAGGCGGUUUGGUAAGUCUCGUGUGAAAUCUCCGGGCUCAACUCGGAGCCUGCACGAGAAACUGCCGGGCUUGAGUGUGGGAGAGGUGAGUGGAAUUCCUGGUGUAGCGGUGAAAUGCGUAGAUAUCAGGAAGAACACCCGUGGCUAAGGCGGCUCUCUAGUACGGUACUGACGCUGAGACGCGAAAGCGUGGGGAGCGAACAGG
rnacentral:rRNA from 1 species